UGCAAUAUAAAAUAUUCGAAUUUAUAUAUAAAUUGCUCUAACACGGAAGAAUUUGCAUACAUAUAUUGUUAUGUUGCACUGGAAGAAAGAUGUACUGAAUAUAUCAUUAUAUGAAAUAUGACACAUUAAAAACAUAUCAAGUAAUAUAAAGUAGAUAUUUUUAUAAAUAUAUCAAAUUUUGUAAAAUUUGUAAAAAAAUUUCAAAACUACUUGUUGUAAAGUCUUGUUUUAUAACAAUUGGGGCGCAAACUUAAAAAGCCAUGGUACACUGGCAACUCAAUCGUGCCACUAAGUAAAGUCGCCAAUAUGCAUAAUUCAGUAGCUGUACUGAAUAGCGCUAUCGAACAGCAGAUAUAAAUUAUUUUAUAGUGCCACAAAUUUAUUUACAAUAUGGAUUUUCUAACGAAGAAACGUUUUUAUGGCAUUGCUAUUUAGUAGAACUAUUGAAUCACAUUGGCGAUUCUGUCUCAUCACUUAACGGCACGACUUAAGCUAAUGGCAUAAAAAAACAUGUAGAAAACAUAAACAAUAAGAUAUGAGCAAUAAGAGAACUAUUCAAUCACAGUAAUGGGAACUGACACAGGAGCGGAAGGAGGAAUCUAUUCGAUAUGACGUCAUAACUCCGGUUUAGGACAGUUUAUUUUUCUGCCACCAGAUGUCAUGGUGAAUAUGUCAGUUCCCAAAAGAAUGUAAGGCAAGCAGUAGCAAGUCAAAUAUGUUGAUUUGCUACUGCUUAUUGCUUUACGUUUUUUACCGUGCAAAUCAAACAUGAUUUGCUUACUGCUUACAUUUUUUAUAUGGCCUUAAUUGCUCAUGUAUAGUUCAUAGUUUUACUGUAGCACCAAAGUGUUUUUUGUUUUUGUUUAAUUAUAUACACAUAUACUAUGCAAGACAAAAUUUAGAUGAAUACAAAUUCUGUGUGUAUGAAGUUAUUAUAAAUAAUUAUUAUAAAUUAUUUUGUAAAAAAA